rnacentral:rRNA from 1 species
UACAGAGGUCUCAAGCGUUGUUCGGAUUCAUUGGGCGUAAAGGGUGCGUAGGCGGCGCGGUAUGUCGGGUGUGAAAUCUCGGAGCUUAACUCCGAAACUGCAUUCGAUACUGCCGUGCUUGAGGACUGGAGAGGAGACUGGAAUUUACGGUGUAGCGGUGAAAUGCGUAGAUAUCGUAAGGAAGACCAGUGGCGAAGGCGGGUCUCUGGACAGUUCCUGACGCUGAGGCACGAAGGUCAGGGGAGCAAACGGG